rnacentral:rRNA from 1 species
UCUUAAAUCGGUUUAACGGGUACCUAGACGGUAAAUUAGGCCUUAAUCGGAACAUUUUUACUAGAGUUAUAUAUGCGUGAGGAUGAUAUGUCAGUAUUACCAGAGUAGAGAUAGAAUUUUUUGAUACUGUUAAGACUGGUAAAGGCAAAAGCAAACCUUUAUAUAUUAACUGACGUUGAGGGACGAAGGCUUGGGUAGCAAACAGGAUUAGAUACCCUAAUAGUCCAGGCAGAGAAUUAUGAAUGUCAUAGAUUACAUGGAUUAUAUUAAGAUUAUAACCCACUUAGUAUGUCCUAUAUAUGUAUUCUAUAAAUGAAAGUGUAAGCAUUCCACCUCAAGAGUAAUGUGGCAACGCAGGAACUGAAAUCAUUAGACCGUUUCUGAUACCAGUAGUGAAGUAUGUUGUUCAAUUUGUUGACCCUCAAACAACCUUACCACAAUUUGAAUAUAUAAUAUAUAUAUAUACAAGCGUUGCAUUGUUGUCUUCAGUUGAUGUUGUGAAAAUUUGAUUAGAUUCAUAAAAUCGACGUAAUCCUAUAUUCUAUUUAAAUAUUAAUAGAUUAGUUCACCGCAAUACUGGAUAUUGAUC